AGAGUUUGAUCCUGGCUCAGAACGAACGUUGGCGGCGUGGAUUAGGCAUGCAAGUCGCACGAGAAAGGUUUCGCAAGAGACCAAGUAAAGUGGCGGACGGGUGAGUAAUGCAUAGAUAACUUGCCCUCAAGACGGGGAUAACUCUUCGAAAGAGGUGCUAAUACCCGAUACUGUCCUGACCUGUCGGGGUUUGGAUGAAAGGAGGCCUCUGAUACAAGCUUCCGCUCGAGGAGAGGUUUAUGUCCUAUUAGCUAGUUGGUGAGGUAACGGCUCACCAAGGCUUCGAUGGGUAGCCGACCUGAGAGGGUGACCGGCCACACUGGGACUGAGACACUGCCCAGACUCCUACGGGAGGCUGCAGUCGAGAAUCUUCCGCAAUGCGCGCAAGCGUGACGGAGCGACGCCGCGUGGGUGAUGAAGGCCUUCGGGUUGUAAAACCCUGUUAGCUACUAUGAACCGCGGGUGGUUAAUAGCCAUCCCGCCUGACGUAAGUAGCAGAGGAAGCACCGGCUAACUACGUGCCAGCCGCGGCGGUAAUUC
rnacentral:rRNA from 1 species